GUUGUAAUGGUGAAUCGGGAUUUUUAAUGAAGUGGGUCUGAUUACUCUUGACUGUUUUGUGAAAUCGAGUUAUGUCUGUGAUGAAGAGUUAAAAGGGUGUCUAUAGGAUUGAGUAUGCGGAGUGAAUGAAAUUUAUUGGGUUAAUCUAACAAGACAGUCAGUGGAUACAAGAUCAUGAGUAUAAAGCGGUAUCAAAGAUUAGCAGUUUGGAUUGUUCGGGGUUCUCUGUAACGUCUAG
rnacentral:lncRNA from 1 species